rfam:Triticum aestivum genome assembly, contig: Triticum_aestivum_CS42_TGACv1_scaffold_329528_4BS
AGAGUACUUCCUCCGUCCGGAAAUACUUGUCGGAGGAAUGGAUCUAUCUAGACGUAUUUUAGUGUUAGAUACAUCCAUUUUUAUGCAUUUCUCCGACGAAUAUUUCCAGACGGAGGGAGUACUAA